rnacentral:rRNA from 1 species
CCUACGGGGGGCAGCAGUGGGGAAUAUUGGACAAUGGGCGAAAGCCUGAUCCAGCCAUGCCGCGUGUGUGAAGAAGGCCUUCGGGUUGUAAAGCACUUUCAGUGGGGAAGAAAGCCUUGGGGCUAAUACCCUCGAGGAAGGACAUCACCCACAGAAGAAGCACCGGCUAACUCCGUGCCAGCAGCCGCGGUAAUACGGAGGGUGCGAGCGUUAAUCGGAAUUACUGGGCGUAAAGCGCGCGUAGGCGGUCUGAUAAGCCGGUUGUGAAAGCCCCGGGCUCAACCUGGGAACGGCAUCCGGAACUGUCAGGCUAGAGUGCAGGAGAGGAAGGAAGAAUUCCCGGUGUAGCGGUGAAAUGCGUAGAGAUCGGGAGGAAUACCAGUGGCGAAGGCGGCCUUCUGGACUGACACUGACGCUGAGGUGCGAAAGCGUGGGUAGCAAACAGGAUUAGAUACCCGAGUAGUC